AAUCGAAGCAGUGAACUUAAGCCCCAGUAAACGGCGGCCGUAACUAUAACGGUCCUAAGGUAGCGAAAUUCCUUGUCGGGUAAGUUCCGACCCGCACGAAAGGCGUAACGAUUUGGGCACUGUCUCAACAACAGACUCGGUGAAAUUGUAAUUCCGGUGAAGAUGCCGGAUACCUGCGACAGGACGGAAAGACCCCAUGGAGCUUUACUGUAGCUUGACAUUGGGUCUUGGUACUACAUGUACAGGAUAGGUGGGAGGCUUUGAAACCAGGACGCCAGUUUUGGCGGAGCCAUCCUUGGGAUACCACCCUUGUAGUACUGGGACUCUAACCAUAGGCCAUGAAUCUGGUCUUGGGACACUGUCAGGUGGGCAGUUUGACUGGGGCGGUCGCCUCCCAAAAGGUAACGGAGGCGCUCAAAGGUUCUCUCAGUACGGUCGGAAAUCGUACGUAGAGUGUAAAGGCAAAAGAGAGCUUGAUUGCAAGACAUACAGGUCGAGCAAGGAUGAAAAUCGGACUUAGUGAUCCGGUGGUUCUGCGUGGAAGGGCCAUCGCUCAACGGAUAAAAGCUACCCUGGGGAUAACAGGCUUAUCUCCCCCAAGAGUCCACAUCGACGGGGAGGUUUGGCACCUCGAUGUCGGCUCAUCACAUCCUGGGGCUGUAGUAGGUCCCAAGGGUUGGGCUGUUCGCCCAUUAAAGUGGUACGCGAGCUGGGUUCAGAACGUCGUGAGACAGUUCGGUCCCUAUCCGUCGCAGGCGUAGGAAAUUUGAGAAGACCUGUCCUUAGUACGAGAGGACCGGGAUGGACGUACCUCUGGUGUACCAGUUGUNCUGCCAAGGGCAUGGCUGGGUAGCUAUGUACGGAAUGGAUAAGCGCUGAAAGCAUCUAAGCGCGAAGCCAACUUCAAGAUAAGAUUUCCCACCGCAAGGGUAAGACCCCAGAAAGACUAUCUGGUUGAUAGGUCGAAGGUGUAAGUGCAGCAAUGUAUUUAGCUUAUCGAUACUAAUAGGUCGAGGACUUGACCAA
rnacentral:rRNA from 1 species